UCGACAAACCGGCGGCGGUUUUUCGACAGACGAGAUGGGUUUCUGAAAAAGAGUAUGUUUUACCACCGUUCCCCAUUAUAAGACAUGGUCUGUCUGGAUAUUGUGCAAGAUCCUCAAAACAAUAAGUGUGGAGAGGAAGAUGAUUUGAAAUGGGGAUUUGGGGCAAUUUUGAAAUGAAAACGUGGGUUUCUUCAGAAGAUUGGGUCUGUGGUUUUUGGGGUGAACCUAAAGAAGAAAGCUCUGAAUUUUGGGUUUCAACAGAAGCUACCGAUAACAUGUUUCUUGAUCAAACUCAAAAAGUUUUGGGUUUUGGAAUGUAGAGUAGGUAGGUAUCGAUUCUGAAUUUUCAAAUUUAGCGAAGAUUAAUCGGUGGAGUUUCAAGAGGGUGACACUAAAAGAAGAAUAUAAGAAAAACAGGUAGUACUUGAAAGAAGUGCAAGUGAGAUAAAUACGAGGACAAAUGGGGGUUAGGUAGGAGAAUGAGUGUGUAUGCGGAGGAGAAUGGUAGUGGGGUAGAUCCUGAGGUGGAAUGAAC
rnacentral:lncRNA from 1 species